UGGGGAAUAUUGAACAAUGGGCGCAAGCCUGAUGCAGCCAUGCCGCGUGUAUGAAGAAGGCCUUCGGGUUGUAAAGUACUUUCAGCGGGGAGGAAGGUGUUGUGGUUAAUAACCACAGCAAUUGACGUUACCCGCAGAAGAAGCACCGGCUAACUCCGUGCCAGCAGCCGCGGUAAUACGGAGGGUGCAAGCGUUAAUCGGAAUUACUGGGCGUAAAGCGCACGCAGGCGGUCUGUCAAGUCGGAUGUGAAAUCCCCGGGCUCAACCUGGGAACUGCAUCCGAAACUGGCAGGCUUGAGUCUUGUAGAGGGGGGUAGAAUUCCAGGUGUAGCGGUGAAAUGCGUAGAGAUCUGGAGGAAUACCGGUGGCGAAGGCGGCCCCCUGGACAAAGACUGACGCUCAGGUGCGAAAGCGUGGGGAGCAAACA
rnacentral:rRNA from 1 species